AUCAAAUUAAAAUGUGGUAGGCUCAAAUUUAUUAAAAUAACAUUUUCCCUACUCAAGAACUGAAGGGAGAUAAUUAAACACUAUAAGAAACAAAUGAUUUGGAAUUGAGAAUUCAUAUUAAAAGCUAAACAAAGUCAUAUUUGAGAAUGUCAAUUUUUUGGAUCAAUUUAUAGGUUGCAUCCUAUUUUUUUCUCAUUAUCUCAAACGUCUGACAUAUUUUGAAGAUCAACCAAAACCAAAAACACCUCACAGACAAUAUAAUUAUGCUAAUUGAAUUGCAACAUAUGACAUUAGUUCAACUUAGUACUGUUCUUACAAAAUCGGAUUAGCUCUUCAGUAACAACGUCCAUCUCUUCACCUUUUACAGAUUUCAAGUUCUUGCUGAUAUCUCUCGCUUUGGCCCUCAAAUUUUCCCCGGUUUUCCCUGUUAUGACAUCUUUAAGAGUUCCGGCAAUUUCUCCUCUAUGAAUUUUGCCAUCAUCAUCUCUAACAAUUUCCACCGCAACUCCCAAUUCUACUACCAACCUGGCAUUCAUUGGCUGAUCAAGAUGUAUAGGCAUCGCUAUUAUAGGAACCCCAAAAUCUAUACUUUCCAUUACUGAAUUCCAACCACAAUGACUUAUAAAUCCUCCGGUACUUGGAUGAUUUAGAAUUCUUGAUUGUGGUGCAAAUUUGUCCAAAACUCUUCCCCUGUCUCCAAUUCUUUCAAGAAAACCUUUUGGUAAAGUGUCUUCAAGAUUUUUCUCCUCCCCCUUUGGGAAUCUUGCGACCCAUAUGAAAUUAACAUUACUUAGCUCCAACCCGAAAGCUAUUUCCUCCAUGUCUUCUUUCGACAAGAAAUACUCACUCCCAAAGGAGAUAAAAACGGUUGAAUUCUCAUCUUUCGUUCCUAGCCAAUCAAUGAGCUCCACUUCAUCAACGUCACUAGUGAUCGGAUCUUGGACAGGUGGACCAACUGGAAAAACUUUCCAACUGUUCAAUUCAGAGAGAAUAUCUAUGUAUUUGGCCUCGAUAGUUCUAGUGGUAUUAAUCAGCAUGGUUUGUGCCUUUCCAUCAGCAAAAGGAUCCACAUCAUCAGGUUGUUUAUCUUUAGCGGAUUUUGCCAUCAUUUCGCUCAUUUUUACUUGUUCAAUUUUCCUGAGAUAAAUCGCUGGAAAAGGGAAUUCGACCCCUGAUUUUCUUAUUAAGUGGGAAAAAUAUGAAAUCACGGCAGCACCAAAAGUUAGGAACUUGACUGCUGGAAUGUUUUGUUCAUUCGCAACGUCUUCAGUCCAUUGCUGCAAUAUGUCAUAAAUGACCAAAUCAGGUUUCAGGUUCUGCAAGAUUUUUGUGAAGUUGGGUUUGGACAUUUUCAGGGCCUUAUGAAGGAUGUGAUUGAGAUGGAGCGGGAGGCCAUUUGUUGUAUGGUAGUGAGGAGGAAGUUCAGGCAAUUCAGGUAAGUGAAGCUCGACAAGAUGAAUCGACUCAGAGUAUUUUUCAGGGAUUUUGUUGAUGAUAGAUUUGAGAUUGACGGGCGUAGAACAAAGGUAAAUCAAGAAUCCUCUAUCCGCGAGUUUCUUGGCAACGUUUAGAAAUGGAGUAAUGUGUCCAUGAGCCAAAAAUGGGAACAUAAGUACCCUCAAAGUACUACCACACACUGUUACUUGUGUAGCCAUGAUCAAAAUAUUUCUUCCUAAAGACAAUAUAUUGGUUAUACUAUGUUCUUGUUUCUCUAGAGUGAAAGAAGAUGGACUCCAUUUAUUUGAAAUACAAGAGAAUGAGGACAAAAUAGAAGUUGUGUGACUUGUCGUUUCAAAUUUUAUGGUAGAAAAUAUCGCCAAGUUAUAGGAAAGUGACAUAUUGUGUGACUUUUCUAAGUAAUUAUAAUUUGGCAAAACUCCAGUGUUUACACUUGCACUAGUGACGGAAAGUUUGGAGUUUAUAGAAACAUAAUUACUUAGAAAACAAAAGGAGAAUAAGAAAGUUCUUUUUAAAAAAAAAUAAAAAAUCUUGGAUUGAUUGGGGGAGGAUCAGAGUACUAUGAAAGUGCUUAAUGUUUGGCAACUCUUGUUGGGUUCAAAAUCGAGAGGGCAUCGUGCGGAAGCUUAAAGUAACCAUGAGAUGAUAAAUCAGAUGACAAAGAAAAACAUAAUACUAAAAGACAUAUUAUGGAUAUGGUUUGGCCAAACGGCCUACAUAUUAAAAAUAAAAUUGAAAAACCUAAAAUCUAUUGGAAGAAAUCUCUCCCUAAACAGAGACACUUUAAAGACUACAUUGUGGAUGUUAUUGUGUUAUGGUAUGAGAAGGGAGUUUUCUAUUUAUUUAUAGAGUUCCAAAACCUUUCCACCAAGAAAGAGGUUUGCCAAAUAUGGAAUUUUUUUAGGAAAAGUAAAAGUAAUUAUGAUAUAUCUUUUAUUUUUCUUUCAAAAAAAAGUAAAACUUAAACUUGGUAAAACAAAUCUGCAAAAACCGUAACAACUCUUCCAGGCCUAAAGCCAUUUUCACGAUGUGGUUUCUAGUGUACACCAAGCUACUCACUAAAGACAGGUUCAACUCAAGUGGGGUGUAAAUGUUGGACCUCUAUGUGUCUACUUUCUAUAGGUAAGAGAAACAUGUGAACAUUUGUUUGUGCAAUGUCCAUUUGUUAGGCAAUUGUGGAAUAGGGUAUCAACUUGGAUGCAUAGAGAGAUGACAUUGGGGAGAGAUCGGGACCAUCAUUUCCGAUCCGGUGUAAAAGGGAAGACUUAGAAAGCUCAGAUAUUCAAAUUGGUAUUUGCUAAAACUCUAUACGCUAUAUGGAUGGAGAGGAAUCUUAGAAUCUUUGAAGAACAGGCUAUCGAUUACCGUAGAUUAACUAGGAAUAUUCCCUAUUCUUGUAAUAUUAGAGCACCAAAAGGUGCAAGGGAUGUAGUGCAGUCAUGGCUGUUAUAAAGUGAUGGUUCCUGGUUAUCAACUUUGUUGAGGAUUAUGGUUAGUAGCAUUUGGAUUGGGAUUUUGUAUAAGCAGUGAGACAAAGAUCACUGGACACAUACUGAAUUAGUGAUAAGACUUGUAUUUAGAUACUUUUCUGGGAGGCUCAAAUAUAUCAACACAACAUUUUGUGAUAUCAAAUUAAAAUGUGGUAGGCUCAAAUAUAUUAAAAUAACAUUUUCCCUACUCAAGAACUGAAGGGAGAUAAUGAAACACUAUAAGAAACAAAUGAUUUGGAAUUGAGAAUUCAUAUUAAAAGCUAAACAAAGUCAUAUUUGAGAAUGUCAAUUUUUUGGAUCAAUUUAUAGGUUGCAUCCUAUUUUUUUCUCAUUAUCUCAAACGUCUGAUAUAUUUUGUAGAUCAACCAAAACCAAAAAGACCUCACAGACAAUAUAAUUAUGUUAAUUGAAUUGCAACAUAUGACAUUAGUUCAACUUAGUACUGUUCUUAC
rnacentral:lncRNA from 1 species